rnacentral:rRNA from 1 species
CAGUAGCCGCGGGAAUACGGAGGGUGCAAGCGUUGUUCGGAAUUACUGGGCGUAAAGCGCGCGUAGGCGGUUACUCAAGUCAGAGGUGAAAGCCCGGGGCUCAACCCCGGAACUGCCUUUGAAACUAGGUGACUAGAAUCUUGGAGAGGUCAGUGGAAUUCCGAGUGUAGAGGUGAAAUUCGUAGAUAUUCGGAAGAACACCAGUGGCGAAGGCGACUGACUGGACAAGUAUUGACGCUGAGGUGCGAAAGCGUGGGGAGCAAACAGGAUUAGAUACCCCUGUAGUCCCUGUCUCUUAUAC